GUCUUAUUGAUAAUAAUUUUAAGUCAAUCUCUGCCCAAUGAUUUUAUUAAAUGGCUGCAGUAUAAUUGACUGUACAAAGGUAGCAUAAUCAAUUGGUUUUUAAAUGAAAUCUGGAAUGAAAGGAUUAAUGAAAUAUAUACUGUCUCAUAUAUAUAAAAUGAAUUUAAAAUUUUAAUAAAAAUGUUAAAAUUUUUUUUUGGGACGAUAAGACCCUAUAGAAUUUUAUAUAAAAUAAAUUUUAUAUUAAUAUAAAAUUUAUUUAUUUUAUAUUUAAUUGGGAGAAUUAUUAAAUUAAAAAAAUUUUAAUUUUUAUAAACUUAGAUUAAAGAAAAUUUAUUGAUUUAGAAUUUUUAAUUAUUAGAAUAAAUUACCUUAGGGAUAACAGCGUAAUAUUUUUUUAUAGAUCUUAUAGAAAAAAAUGAUUGCGACCUCGAUGUUGAAUUAAGAUAAAUUUUAAAUGUAGAAGUUUAAUGAUUAAGUCUGUUCGACUUUUAAAAUCUUACAUGAUUUGAGUUCAAAUCGACGUGAGU
rnacentral:rRNA from 1 species